rnacentral:rRNA from 1 species
GCAGAGCAUCCUACGGGAGGCAGCAGUGGGGAAUAUUGCACAAUGGGCGCAAGCCUGAUGCAGCCAUGCCGCGUGUAUGAAGAAGGCCUUCGGGUUGUAAAGUACUUUCAGCAGUGAGGAAGGUGGAUAUGUUAAUAGCAUAUUCAUUUGACGUUAACUGCAGAAGAAGCACCGGCUAACUCCGUGCCAGCAGCCGCGGUAAUACGGAGGGUGCGAGCGUUAAUCGGAAUUACUGGGCGUAAAGCGCAUGCAGGUGGUUUGUUAAGUCAGAUGUGAAAGCCCGGGGCUCAACCUCGGAAUUGCAUUUGAAACUGGCAAACUAGAGUACUGUAGAGGGGGUAGAAUUUCAGGUGUAGCGGUGAAAUGCGUAGAGAUCUGAAGGAAUACCGGUGGCGAAGGCGGCCCCCUGGACAGAUACUGACACUCAGAUGCGAAAGCGUGGGGAGCAAACAGGAUUAGAUACCCUGGUG